AACACAUGCAAGUCGAGGGGCAGCAUUGGAGUAGCAAUACUUCAGAUGGCGACCGGCGCACGGGUGAGUAACACGUAUCCAACCUGCCGCUUACUCGGGGAUAGCCUUUCGAAAGAAAGAUUAAUACCCGAUGGUAUAAAGAGUUUGCAUGUUCUCUUUAUUAAAGAAUUUCGGUAAGCGAUGGGGAUGCGUUCCAUUAGAUAGUUGGCGGGGUAACGGCCCACCAAGUCUACGAUGGAUAGGGGUUCUGAGAGGAAGGUCCCCCACAUUGGAACUGAGACACGGUCCAAAUCCUACGGGAGGCAGCAGUGAGGAAUAUUGGUCAAUGGACGAGAGUCUGAACCAGCCAAGUAGCGUGAAGGAUGACUGCCCUAUGGGUUGUAAACUUCUUUUAUAAGGGAAUAAAGUGAGGGACGUGUCCCUUUUUGUAUGUACCUUAUGAAUAAGGAUCGGCUAACUCCGUGCCAGCAGCCGCGGUAAUACGGAGGAUCCAAGCGUUAUCCGGAUUUAUUGGGUUUAAAGGGAGCGUAGGUUGACGUAUAAGUCAGCUGUGAAAGUUUACGGCUCAACCGUGAAAUUGUAGUUGAUACUGUAUGUCUUGAGUGUACAAGAGGUGGGCGGAAUUCGUGGUGUAGCGGUGAAAUGCUUAGAUAUCACGAAGAACUCCAAUUGCGAAGGCAGCUCACUGGGGUACAACUGACACUGAGGCUCGAAAGUGUGGGUAUCAAACAGGAUUAGAUACCCUGGUAGUCCACACAGUAAACGAUGAAUACUCGCUGUUUGCGAUAUACAGUAAGCGGCCAAGCGAAAGCAUUAAGUAUUCCACCUGGGGAGUACGCCGGCAACGGUGAAACUCAAAGGAAUUGACGGGGGCCCGCACAAGCGGAGGAACAUGUGGUUUAAUUCGAUGAUACGCGAGGAACCUUACCCGGGCUUGAAUUGCAGAGGAACAUAGUUGAAAGAUUAUGGCCGCAAGGUCUCUGUGAAGGUGCUGCAUGGUUGUCGUCAGCUCGUGCCGUGAGGUGUCGGCUUAAGUGCCAUAACGAGCGCAACCCUUAUCAUUAGUUACUAACAGGUGACGCUGAGGACUCUAGUGAGACUGCCGUCGUAAGAUGUGAGGAAGGUGG
rnacentral:rRNA from 1 species